rnacentral:misc_RNA from 1 species
UCAUCCUGGGGGAUCGUUUUGAAUUCCCAGUGAUCCAAAGUUUGCAAAACUAUUAUACUUUGCUGAGGAGCAGGUUUUUUAUUUUAAGAUUUUAUAAGCGUCAAAAGAUCUUUUUUUCCCACACUUGUGGUUUAUUUCGACUCUUUUCAAAAAAAGAUUUUUUAUGCUAUUUUGUUAAAGUAAUACAUGUAAAUAUAGAUGUAUAUAUGGAUUUUGGUUGGUUUUACAAUUUGGUAUAGUCGUAUCUAGUCAUGUAAAUAUGUACGUUGGUAUUCACCUUGAAAUACUUGCAUAGUAAGCGGGAGGAACUAUGUACUGAAAAAUACAUGGCCUAGCAAUUGUUGACAUUGUAACUCUUGUAUCGUGUACAGGGCCCGCGGCCCACAGCGUCCGUAUUUCUUCUGUAGAUUAGAAAACAAUAUCAGAGAUUUUGCUAUGCGGAGGAGAGCUUUGUGAUUCAAGAUUUGAAACUUUAAAUAUAUAUAUUUCUCGCAUAAUCACAUUAUUCGGUUUAAUUGAACACUUGUAUUACGUUGGGUGAUAGAGGGCGAGAGUGAGCAUAAUAAGUCUAAUGAAAAAGCAUGCAUCCUUUCAAUUUAGUCAAGUGUAGACUGUGUAUUUCUACUUUGCCUUGUAAAUUAAACAGACAGUACAAAUAUCUUGAAUGUUACAAAUUGUAUAGUUUUGUUUGAAUUUAUGUUUUGUCUAACAUAUGAAAUAGCAGAAGAGGUGAAACCCCUUUCAAAUGAUGCACAACAGCUGUAUUUGUUGACUAUUUACUAGACUUUUUGCUGGAACUUGGCCCUAUUUGCUAAGAUUACACUUAAACUGUGACAUGGUGUGUUUGAUAUGCCACUUUAGAGAGUGUUUAUAACAUUACGUACGCCCAUGUCACACGUCUAUAUUGUUAUGAUAUUGUGCAAUGAAGUUACAUUUGUAUAAUGGCAGAGCACAGUUGGCAUAUAUGUAACAUCUGUGGUGUAAUCACAAUAUGACUACAUUUGUAUUAUAUGUAUGGCCUUUAGGUGUGAUUACAUUUGUACAGUACAUUGCGGUAACAUUUGUAAUAUAAUGACACUCUGUGACUUGAUUACAUUUGUACAUGUAACAUAAGAUCAGCACGAUUACGUUUGCGUCAUAAUAUCAAGUACAUUUUGUAGGUUGACAUUGUACGAUAUAAUUAAACUGCUCUGUCAAUUAACGAUGUCAUUACAUGUACAUUUGUAUUAUUCAACGGUUCGCCUCUUUUCGCCGUCUAGAAUUAUUUUUGUGUAGAUUAGUAUUGAUAGGGUUAUAUCUUACCAUGUAAGAGGAUAGUCAUACAUUGUUUUCCUAUUUUUAUAUCUCGGUUUGAAAUAAAAUUCAGUGGAAAUUGC